rnacentral:rRNA from 1 species
GACGAACGCUGGCGGCGUGCUUAACACAUGCAAGUCGAGCGGUAAGGCCCUUUCGGGGGUACACGAGCGGCGAACGGGUGAGUAACACGUGGGUGACCUGCCCUCAGCUCUGGGAUAAGCCCGGGAAACUGGGUCUAAUACCGGAUAUGACUCCAUGACGCAUGUUGUGGGGUGGAAAGCCUUGUGCGGCUGAGGAUGGGCCCGCGGCCUAUCAGCUUGUUGGUGGGGUGAGGCCUACCAAGGCGACGACGGGUAGCCGGCCUGAGAGGGCGACCGGCCACACUGGGACUGAGACACGGCCCAGGACUCCUACGGGAGGCAGCAGUGGGGAAUCUUGCGCAAUGGGCGAAAGCCUGACGCAGCGACGCCGCGUGAGGGAUGACGGCCU